AACCCUAACUUUAAUAUCAAGAACAGAGAGAGAGAGAGAGAGAGAGAGAGAGAGAUUGGCGGUGACGAAGACGACUGCUGAAGAAGUGAAAGAAGAACCAUGUCGUCCGAUAACGAAGGUACAACGUCGAGUUCAGAGUCUGAAGGAGCAGACUCUGUAAAAGAGAACGCUACAUUGGAAUUUAUAGAGAAUCUCUCAGAUGUGCCGAUGGGGCGACUACCUUCAAACAUUGAAUUCCAGAGGACGCGCGUCGAUUGCAAGGCUGAUGCUCCCAUUCAUACUGAUACCUUUCAGUAUUCUGGUGCUUAUUCAUCAAUGAGAGUUGAAAAUAGUUUUUUGGAUAACUUCUGUGACAACUUUAGAGUUGAAGUUAUUCGUCUUACAGAGGAUGAAAUGGAGUUUGAUAUGAUCGGCAUUGAUCCAGCACUUGCCAAUGCAUUCCGGAGAAUCCUCAUAUCUGAGGUUCCCACAAUGGCUAUUGAAAAAGUCCUUAUUGCAAACAACACAUCAGUAAUCCAAGAUGAAGUACUUGCCCACAGGUUGGGUCUCAUUCCGAUCAAAGCCGACCCUAGAUUAUUUGAAUAUGCAGAAAAUAAUACGGCAAGUGAAAAGAACACCAUUGUUUUUAAGCUCCAUGUUCGCUGUGAACGAAGUGGGCAACGUCUUUCAGUAAAGUCAAAAGAAUUGAUAUGGUUGCCAAAUGGGAGUGAGUUUCCUUUGGAAUCACAAGAUUCAAAGACAGGUUCAUCCUCAAAACCAAAAACAUAUACAUCAUUUACUUGCAGCCAGGAAUCCUUGCCAGAAUUUUCCAGCAAUCCAAUCGCCCCCGCGCUUGGAGAUAUUCUUAUUGCUAGACUGGGCCCUGGUCAGGAAAUUGAACUGGAAGCACAUGCUGUUAAGGGCAUUGGUAAAACACAUUCAAAAUGGUCCCCAGUUACCCCUGUUUGGUAUAAGAUGCUUCCUGAGAUUGUACUAUUGGAAGAUAUUGAAGAUCAGCAGGCUGAGAAACUUGUGGCAAUAUGCCCAGUUAAAGUAUUUGAUAUUGAAGAUAUUGGCAAAGGUAAAAAGAGGGCUACUGUAGCCAGACCACGAGCUUGCACAUUGUGCAGGGAAUGCAUCAGAGAAGGGAAGGGAUGGGAGAAUGCAAUAUCGUUACGGCGUAAGAAGGAUCAUUUCAUUUUUAUUAUUGAAUCAAGUGGGGUAUUUCCUCCCGAAGUGUUAGUUACUGAAGCUGUGAAGAUAUUGGAAGAGAAGUGCGAUCGUGUUAUUUCCGAUCUUUCUUGAUGCUCUGUUGUUGUUUUCUUUUCUUUUUUUUUUUGUAGAAAGGAAAUUAAGCAAAAGAGAACAGUAUAACACCCGAUUAAUUAUACGAUGUAUGUUUAUUGAGAGAUCGUGAGUCCGCAUCCCAAUAUGAGAUGCAAAAUUGAUAAUUUUGAGUAAGAUGAAAAAAAAGAAUGAAUUUACCAACUUUGGAAGGACAUGGUGCAAUGCAACAGCAGGGCUGCACUGCUAGCCUAGCCCUCAUGAAUCAUACGAGGUCUGUUAGUCAUCGUAUGCUAGCACAUAUGUUCUUAAUAGUGUUCCGUUAAACGGGGAAAUCAAUAGAGAAAAUUACACUAA